UCCCUGGUGGUCUAGUGGUUAGGAUUCAGCGCCCUCACCGCCGCGGCCCGGGUUCGAUUCCCGGUCAGGGAA
rnacentral:tRNA from 1 species